rnacentral:rRNA from 1 species
ACCUGAAACCGUGUACGUACAAGCAGUGGGAGCACAGGUUUACCUGUGUGACUGCGUACCUUUUGUAUAAUGGGUCAGCGACUUAUAUUCUGUAGCAAGGUUAACCGUAUAGGGGAGCCGUAGGGAAACCGAGUCUUAACCGGGCGUUAAGUUGCAGGGUAUAGACCCGAAACCCGGUGAUCUAGCCAUGGGCAGGUUGAAGGUUGGGUAACACUAACUGGAGGACCGAACCGACUAAUGUUGAAAAAUUAGCGGAUGACCUGUGGCUGGGGGUGAAAGGCCAAUCAAACCGGGAGAUAGCUGGUUCUCCCCGAAAGCUAUUUAGGUAGCGCCUCGUGAAUUCAUCUCCGGGGGUAGAGCACUGUUUCGGCUAGGGGGCCAUCCCGGCUUACCAACCCGAUGCAAACUGCGAAUACCGGAGAAUGUUAUCACGGGAGACACACGGCGGGUGCUAACGUCCGUCGUGAAGAGGGAAACAACCCAGACCGCCAGCUAAGGUCCCAAAGUCAUGGUUAAGUGGGAAACGAUGUGGGAAGGCCCAGACAGCCAGGAUGUUGGCUUAGAAGCAGCCAUCAUUUAAAGAAAGCGUAAUAGCUCACUGGUCGAGUCGGCCUGCGCGGAAGAUGUAACGGGGCUAAACCAUGCACCGAAGCUGCGGCAGCGAACGUAUCACCCAAGACAACUUUACGGAGUUGACGAUUGACGGAGCGAAGCGACGUCAAAGCGUUCAUUAAAGUCGAGUUGGCUUAGGGAUACGUUCGUUGGGUAGGGGAGCGUUCUGUAAGCCUGUGAAGGUGUGUCGUGAGGCAUGCUGGAGGUAUCAGAAGUGCGAAUGCUGACAUAAGUAACGAUAAAGCGGGUGAAAAGCCCGCUCGCCGGAAGACCAAGGGUUCCUGUCCAACGUUAAUCGGGGCAGGGUGAGUCGACCCCUAAGGCGAGGCCGAAAGGCGUAGUCGAUGGGAAACGGGUUAAUAUUCCCGUACUUGGUGUUACUGCGAAGGGGGGACGGAGAAGGCUAUGUUGGCCGGGCGACGGUUGUCCCGGUUUAAGCGUGUAGGUGUGUGUUCCAGGUAAAUCCGGUUCACUUUAACACUGAGGCGUGACGACGAGGCACUACGGUGCUGAAGCAACAAAUGCCCUGCUUCCAGGAAAAGCCUCUAAGCAUCAGGUAACACGAAAUCGUACCCCAAACCGACACAGGUGGUCAGGUAGAGAAUACCAAGGCGCUUGAGAGAACUCGGGUGAAGGAACUAGGCAAAAUGGUGCCGUAACUUCGGGAGAAGGCACGCUGACACGUAGGUGAAGUGAUUUACUCAUGGAGCUGAAGUCAGUCGAAGAUACCAGCUGGCUGCAACUGUUUAUUAAAAACACAGCACUGUGCAAACACGAAAGUGGACGUAUACGGUGUGACGCCUGCCCGGUGCCGGAA